rnacentral:tmRNA from 1 species
GGGGAUGACAGGCUUCGACGGAAGAGGCUGGCCCCGAGCUGCAAGCCGAGAGGCGCCGAACUCGCAAAAUCAGCGCAAAACCAAAGUGCCAACCGCACUGACUUUGCGGCUCUCCCCCUAGCAGCCUAACCCCUGCCAGGCCGGAAGCCCGCCUCGUCUGACGGGGCGCACCCGCCGCAACCCUCCUGGGCCGGCUCGCGGAUCGGGUGACCAAUGGCCUGGGUGCCGCGCCGACUGCCGUGAUCGGCGCGAAAGAGGGUCUUCGGACCCACAACGGCUGGCGCUGUCGCCGCCCUGCUGGCCGGGCUGACAAGCGCGAGAAGACAAUAGACCGGCUACGCUUGUAGACGCUCGACGGUCGAGUCUUUCGGACGCGGGUUCGAUUCCCGCCAUCUCCACCA